CGCCUCUUGACCAAAUAUAAGAGGUCCAGCCUGCCCACUGACAUAGUUUAACGGCCGCGGUACCCUAACCGUGCGAAGGUAGCAUAAUCACUUGUUCUUUAAAUAAGGACUUGUAUCAACGGCAUCACGAGGACUAUACUGUCUCCUUUCUCCAAUCAGUGAAACUGAUCUCCCCGUGAAGAAGCGGGGAUUAACCUAUAAGACGAGAAGACCCCAUGGAGCUUAAAGCCCACAAACACCUCUGCGCACUUAAACCAAUUUAGCCUAAGAGACCUGUGAGCCAGCUUUAGGUUGGGGGGACCGCGGAGAAAAACCUAACCUCCACGACAAACGGGCAAACGCCCUAAUCCAUGAAUCACAAUUCUAAGAAUCAAUAAACUGAUGUUUAAUGACCCGAUUAUUCGAUCAACGAACCAAGUUACCCUGGGGAUAACAGCGCAAUCUACUUUAAGAGCUCAUAUCGACAAGUAGGUUUACGACCUCGAUGUUGGAUCAGGGUAUCCCAGUGGUGCAGCCGCUACUAAAGGUUCGUUUGUUCAACGAUUAAAACCCU
rnacentral:rRNA from 1 species